UACGUAGGGUGCGAGCGUUGUCCGGAAUUACUGGGCGUAAAGAGCUCGUAGGUGGUUUGUCGCGUUGUUCGUGAAAACUCACAGCUUAACUGUGGGCGUGCGGGCGAUACGGGCAGACUGGAGUACUGCAGGGGAGACUGGAAUUCUGGUGUAGCGGUGGAAUGCGCAGAUAUCAGGAGGAACACCGGUGGCGAAGGCGGGUCUCUGGGGCAGUAACUGACGCUGGAGGAGCGAAAGCGUGGGGAGCGAACAGG
rnacentral:rRNA from 1 species